ACCAGACCGCCUGACCAGCUGGUUCACACCACACCGCUGCUCAGUGGGAGCCCAGACAGGCAACCCUAAGACUGGAAGGGGAAUGCUGAGCCAGGUGGCAAUGGGAUGUUGAAGGUGAUGUUGAACAGAGUCUUUAGGAUCUCCAUGGCUCGCUCCGUCUGCUCUCUGCUGAGAGGAGGAAGCUCUUCUGGAGGAACGCCUUCUGAGCCCGCCCGGGCACUCUCAAAGUGCCGAUGCCAGCUAUGGCCGCCAGGGUGGCCAUGGCGGAGUGGCUGACGAAGGGCCCCAGGCAGUGCUUGUCCCGGGACAGAAUGCGCACAGUCUCCACACAAGCCAGCUGACAGGAGGGCUGCAGCUCCCUGGUCAGGAAGCCAAGCACCAGCUUCCCAAGACGCUGAAGACAAACACUCUGUCCAUUCACUAUGCUAUGAUGUUAGCUAUAUGUUUCUGCAGCGGGUACUGGACUACAAUCAUUUCUACUCUAUAGUCACUUUCAGUCAAAUAAUACUGAUGUUCAAAUCGAACUCAUCUAACUCUAACUCAUGACUUUUUCCCACAUUGCUACUCUUAUUUGACAUCUUCAUGUUUAAUUAUCAUUAAAAAGAAAGAAGCAUUUUCAGAAAUAAACUGCAGUCUAUGAGCGUUCUAACUAGUUGCUUCUACAUCAGUACCUCCGAUAGCUUUCCUUCCUGGAGCCCCAGAGAAGGCACAGGGACAAAGAUGAUACAACACAGGUAGGAGUGCAAAGGAAUUAUAAUCAGAAAAUCUUUAGUAGGAGU